UAUAAUAACCAGCUGUGAGGAGAGAUAUAAGAUUUUUAUAAGCAGUCAAAUAUGGAUGAUAAAGGACCCCUCACUAAUUAGGUUCUUGUUUACUUUAGAGCAGAGUUGGCAAUGUUAGAUGAUAUAACGGUGUCCUCCCAGAUCGCCUAAUUUCUCCCCACAAGGUACCAAAAUACAAUUAGGUGAUGUGGGUAUGCCAUGCCUGGAUGAGAUUUAUAAUUAGGUAAUGUGGGUAGUUGGAACAGUCCACUUUACUGAAUGAAGGGAUGACAAGACAACCAGAGAUACAUAGUUUUACAUAUUUUAAUCAACAAUAUAUUAUAACAAGUAGCCUCUAUCAAAAACUAUGUGUCUCUGUGUCUCUUGUUGAAUUAGCAUUAGAUAAGCCCCGACAGCUGAAUGUCCUGCUAUUUUUCACAAAUUAAACUACCAGCGGCGGUAUUGAUUUAAACAUAUUUUAUUUCGGAAAACCAAAUGGAUUAGGCACAAGUGACACACUUACGAGGCCUUCUCCUAUUACAUUGUAGCUCCAGUGUCUGCUUCAUCCAACUCACUAACCGUGUUAUUGAUGAUGAGGAAGAAACCUAAACUGAUUGUAUGUAUGUGAAGAAAACCUUGAGCCAAUAUUCAUUUUUGAAAGUUCAGAAUAAUCAAUUAUCCUUAAAAAGAAUGCCGUGCUUGUUGACUUUAUAAUGUUUCGACAGGCAUUUUGCCAGUUAUCUUGCUUAUUUAAGAAUCAAAUUAUGUUUUAAAUGAUACCAGUUCAUUUAGAAUACCAUAUUCUAAUUA